UAAAACAUUAACUCCAAAAGCCAAAGGUUAAAAAUAAUAGUGUUUCAGCCAGGAAGAACAAAUGGUUUAAUACAUACUUUACCCAGUAUGUUGCUGUGCUCUGGCAUUAUACCUCUUUUCCUGCAGCCUGAUUUCAAGGUGGACUUAUGAGGAAAAAACAGCUCAAGUGAGAUCUCUGAAUUUCAGAGGAAGGCACAUCCUUUCAAUACAUUGAAGUCUGGAAAGCUCGCAGGCAUGUGCUGGCCUCUGAGACAAUGCUGUUCUCUCUGUGGUCCACCACGAAGUCUGCAUCAGUUGCUGUCCCAAAGCAUUUAUCAGCCUGAUUGGACCCCAACCCAUAAACUGUUUUUGUGGUAGCAGUUACUGCGAUGGUCACAGAGCGAUUGCAGAAUCAGAAAUGUAUGAAGAGACUUGGAAGAGAAGUGUGGAAGAUGUGUCCAUACAAUCAAGAACUUGGUCUUUUGCACAGCAUUCUUCCUUAUAGCCAUCACUAUUGAUCAGAGUCUUUAGAAGUGUGACCAUUUCCAAGUCAGCUUAUGUAGAUUUUAUUGUUUUCUUCAUGUGUGCUGUCAGUGGCAUCACUUCAGUUUUUGGGAAAAGGCCAUCUCUUCCUGCAAGUAUCAUAAGCCAGUGUCAAGGCAUUUAUGUUUCAUGAUUCACUUGUGAGAGAAGGCUUGUGGUUCAUUACAUACGUUGUGGAAAUAGCUGUUAGUACAAGCUGACUUUCUUCCCACCUUGCCCUUGCUCCGGAAUGAGGCCACGUGUGCACAUUGCCACGAUAGCAGGCUCUAAGUGCCGGAAGAAUUCAGAGCUAUUUUUUGCCCUGCAUGCCAGAUCCAGCAUGUAAGGUUAUAUUUAAGUUACUCAUUACCUUUUCUUCUUGGAGGGAGCCUUUAUCCAUCUAUUUGUAGAUAGCAUGAAGAGCUGACUUUUAAUUUUGUCCUUGACAGCACAUCGGAAUGAUUUUGCUUUAAUCUCCUGCUAAGCACUGCUAAAAUGCCUGGUCAGUGGAAAAUUACCUUAUCAAUACCAUUAAGUGAUAACAACAGCUGAAGAGGCCUUUAUUGUACAGUCCAAACUACCUGCAUUGCCAAAGACUAUCAAAUCCUUGUUAUGAAGCUUAUUGUAAAAUGUCACACCUCCAGAACAGGAUGCGGCUACUACAUCAUCAUGACUUGAACUUGCUGUUUAUGUAAAGCCAGGGAAAGGUACCUUUUCAAAUUUAAGAGCAUAACGAACUUUUAAACAGUUUUCACUACAGAAACUGGCAAUAAGGAUAGAUAAGGAGGUCACUGGACAGUAAAAUACAUUAGCAGAAGCUCUACACACAAUGGACAAAAGUUAAAAAAACAA